GACGAACGCUGGCGGCGUGCUUAACACAUGCAAGUCGAACGGAAAGGCCCUGCUCUUGCGGGGUGCUCGAGUGGCGAACGGGUGAGUAACACGUGAGUAACCUGCCCUUGACUUUGGGAUAACUUCAGGAAACUGGGGCUAAAAUCGGAUAGGAUCUCCUGCUGCACGGUGGGGGUUGGAAAGUUUCGGCGGUUGGGGAUGGACUCGCGGCUUAUCAGCUUGUUGGUGAGGUAGUGGCUUUCCAAGGCUGUGACGGGUAGCCGGCCUGAGAGGGUGACCGGCGACAAUGGUACUGAGAUACGGCGCAGACGCGUACGGGACGCAGCAGUGGAGAGUAUUGCAGAAUGGGCGGAAGCCUGAUGCAGCGACGCCGCGUGCGGGAUGACGGCCUUCGGGUUGUGAACCGCUUUCGACUGUGACGAAGCGUGAGUGACGGUAAUGAGUAAAGAAGCACCGGCUAACUACGUG
rnacentral:rRNA from 1 species